rnacentral:rRNA from 1 species
GAAAAGACAUCAACCGAGAUUCCGUUAGUAGUGGCGAGCGAACGCGGACCAGGCCAGUGCCUGAUAUUCAACUAGCAGAAGCUUCUGGAAAGUAGCGCCAUAGUGGGUGACAGCCCCGUAUGCGAAAGUGAUGUAUCAGGACUCGAGUAGGGCGGGACACGUGUAAUCCUGUCUGAACAUGGGGGGACCACCCUCCAAGCCUAAAUACUCGUACAUGACCGAUAGCGAACUAGUACCGUGAGGGAAAG